UACGUAGGAUGCAAGCGUUGUCCGGAUUUAUUGGGUUUAAAGGGUGCGUAGGCGUUAUAUUAAGUUCGUGGGGAAAACGUUCGGCUUAACCGGAUACCCGCCAUUGAUACUGAUAGACUUGAGUGCGACAGAGGGUGUUGGAAUGUGUGGUGUAGCGGUGAAAUGCUUAGAUAUCACGCAGAACACCAAUUGCGAAGGCAGAUGCCUAUGUCGUAACUGACGCUGAGGCACGAAAGCGUGGGGAGCAAACAGG
rnacentral:rRNA from 1 species